UGAGGAAUAUUGGUCAAUGGACGGAAGUCUGAACCAGCCAUGCCGCGUGCAGGAUGACGGCUCUAUGAGUUGUAAACUGCUUUUGUACGAGGGUAACCCCGGGUACGUGUACCCGGCUGAAAGUAUCGUACGAAUAAGGAUCGGCUAACUCCGUGCCAGCAGCCGCGGUAAUACGGAGGAUCCAAGCGUUAUCCGGAUUUAUUGGGUUUAAAGGGUGCGUAGGCGGUUAGAUAAGUUAGAGGUGAAAUUCCGGUGCUUAACACCGGCGCUGCCUCUAAUACUGUUUGACUAGAGAGUAGUUGCGGUAGGCGGAAUGUAUGGUGUAGCGGUGAAAUGCUUAGAGAUCAUACAGAACACCGAUUGCGAAGGCAGCUUACCAAGCUAUAUCUGACGUUGAGGC
rnacentral:rRNA from 1 species